ACACCUACGGGAGGCAGCAGUGGGGAAUAUUGCGCAAUGGGGGAAACCCUGACGCAGCAACGCCGCGUGAAUGAUGAAGGCUUCGGGUUGUAAAGUUCUUUUCUUCUGGGACGAUAAUGACGGUACCAGAGGAGGAAGCCACGGCUAAGUAAAGUGCCAGCAGCCGCGGUAAUAAA
rnacentral:rRNA from 1 species